rnacentral:rRNA from 1 species
UACGUAGGGGGCAAGCGUUGUCCGGAAUCAUUGGGCGUAAAGAGCGUGUAGGCGGCUCGGUAAGUCCGCUGUGAAAGUCCAGGGCUCAACCCUGGAAUGCCGGUGGAAACUGUCGAGCUAGAGUCCGGAAGAGGCGAGUGGAAUUCCUGGUGUAGCGGUGAAAAUGCGCAGAUAUCAGGAGGAACACCGGUGGCGAAGACGGUCUCUGGGCCGAUGACUGACGCUGAGGAGCGAAAGCGUGGGGAGCGAACAGG